rnacentral:rRNA from 1 species
GGGGGGAUCAUUACCGAGUUUACAACUCCCAAACCCAAUGUGAACCAUACCAAACUGUUGCCUCGGCGGGGUCACGCCCCGGGUGCGUCGCAGCCCCGGAACCAGGCGCCCGCCGGAGGGACCAACCAAACUCUUUUCUGUAGUCCCCUCGCGGACGUUAUUUCUUACAGCUCUGAGCAAAAAUUCAAAAUGAAUCAAAACUUUCAACAACGGAUCUCUUGGUUCUGGCAUCGAUGAAGAACGCAGCGAAAUGCGAUAAGUAAUGUGAAUUGCAGAAUUCAGUGAAUCAUCGAAUCUUUGAACGCACAUUGCGCCCGCCAGUAUUCUGGCGGGCAUGCCUGUCCGAGCGUCAUUUCAACCCUCGAACCCCUCCGGGGGGUCGGCGUUGGGGACCUCGGGAGCCCCUAAGACGGGAUCCCGGCCCCGAAAUACAGUGGCGGUCUCGCCGCAGCCUCUCCUGCGCAGUAGUUUGCACAACUCGCACCGGGAGCGCGGCGCGUCCACGUCCGUAAAACACCCAACUUCUGAAAUGUUGACCUCGGAUCAGGUAGGAAUACCCGCUGAACUUAAGCAUAUCAA